UGAUGUGUGGUAAGGGUUUGUGUGCUUCCGGAUAGAUUAUUUUCUAUCUUCGUCUAGUCAGCCGCGUUUAAACGGAAAAGUUUAGCCGAAAGU
rnacentral:lncRNA from 1 species